rnacentral:rRNA from 1 species
AUUGAACGCUGGCGGCAGGCCUAACACAUGCAAGUCGAACGGUAACAGGAAACAGCUUGCUGUUUCGCUGACGAGUGGCGGACGGGUGAGUAAUGUCUGGGAAACUGCCUGAUGGAGGGGGAUAACUACUGGAAACGGUAGCUAAUACCGCAUAACGUCGCAAGACCAAAGAGGGGGACCUUCGGGCCUCUUGCCAUCGGAUGUGCCCAGAUGGGAUUAGCUAGUAGGUGGGGUAACGGCGCACCUAGGCGACGAUCCCUAGCUGGUCUGAGAGGAUGACCAGCCACACUGGAACUGAGACACGGUCCAGACUCCUACGGGAGGCAGCAGUGGGGAAUAUUGCACAAUGGGCGCAAGCCUGAUGCAGCCAUGCCGCGUGUAUGAAGAAGGCCUUCGGGUUGUAAAGUACUUUCAGCGGGGAUGAAGGGAGUAAAGUUAAUACCUUUGCUCAUUGACGUUACCCGCAGAAGAAGCACCGGCUAACUCCGUG